rnacentral:rRNA from 1 species
UACGGGGGGGGCAAGCGUUGUUCGGAAUUACUGGGCGUAAAGGGCUCGUAGGCGGCCAACUAAGUCAAACGUGAAAUCCCUCGGCUUAACCGGGGAACUGCGUCUGAUACUGGAUGGCUUGAGUUUGGGAGAGGGAUGCGGAAUUCCAGGUGUAGCGGUGAAAUGCGUAGAUAUCUGGAGGAACACCGGUGGCGAAGGCGGCAUCCUGGACCGACACUGACGCUGAGGAGCGAAAGCCAGGGGAGCAAACGGG